CUGGCUGCCUGUUGCCUUCUUCCUCUUCGCGAUGGCCCUCCGUUUCUUCCUCUACCCUCUUCCUCACCAAUUUCUCGAUUUCAUCCAAAUUCCUUUGAAUUCGUUUCAGACGCGGUGCCUCACCACAACAACAACCACCUCUCAUCCCUCAAACCUUCUUCAUCCCCUCCUCCUCCGCCCAAAAUAGUUCAUGAUGUCUGGAAAGACAUAAUCUUAACCCACUCUCACAGAGACCCACCUCACCAUAAUCACCACCCGUUCGAAGAAGAGACUACAGGAAGAGACUGAUCUAAUAGGUAUUUUGGCUUGUAAAAUAUUCUCCAAGACUAUUGUGUUUGUGCUUUCCAAGAUAAUGAGCCGGACAUCAUUGAUGGUGUGGGUGCUGAAACGGGAGAUGUGAUUAGAACCAGCAUUGGUGGCCGAAAUGGUCAAUCUAGAAAAAAGGGCAUGUGUUUUUGAGAUCUCGAAAAGAGGGAAAUUUAAGAUGAAAGGUGUCUAUACCUUUAGAGAUGAGGCAAGCAAGCUUCUUCCAUACAUAUAACUAAUUUGUUUUAUUCAAUUGAAUUUAAUAUAACUCAAUUUAUUGGUGUGUGUUGUUCAUGUUAGGAUUAUAAUUUUUAUGUGGAUUUUGUUAUGUCACCAUUCAUUGUUCAAGAGUCUAGAAAGGAAUCAUGUAUACCCAAGACUUAAGCUUUUGGAUGCUACAAGAGGGCUUUGAUCACUUGAGCUACAAAUUUCUGGUAUCACUCUUUUUUACUUAGCUUCCGUUCUUUUGUGUGUGUGUCUUGUAUUUUUCCUAAUUUGAUGUUCUGAUAAAUAUAACUCACAAAUGUUUCUGGAGUUACAAAAGUAGCAUAUUUGAAAUUGAAGGAUCUUUGAAACCUGUCCAGUGGCACUAAAGUGGUCUUGCCACUUAAUGAUUUGAAAGAGGCAUUAGUAGAAAUAUAACUCAUGAUCAAUUACAAAUAUAACUCACAUAUGCUGCAAGGGAAACUCAUGAUCAAUUAUAUGUUACCACGGAUAUUUUUCUAAAGAUUCAUGCAGAAAUAAGUGAUCAUGAAAAGAUGAGAAUAUGUUCCACAUUAAAGCAUGAAAAGUUGUUAGCUGAAGCUGUGAGAUAUCUUAGUAGAAAUAUGGCGUUUCCUUUAGAAACAAAACCAAGAUUGAAUGUAAAUAGACAAAGCCGAAUGAAAAGCCUGCUGCAUGAAAAUGAUCACUUGAAAAGCUUUUUUGACUCCAUGUUUCUCAAAAGCUUCAAGAACAUUAUCACUGAUGUGAAAGAGGAUGCUAAAAUGGGAACAAUGUUAUAUGAUGGUGAUGAAGGAAUACAUAGUAGUGGGACCUAAUUGGCAAGUCUAAAGAAGAUAGGGAAUCAUACUUUGAGUUUGAGCAAUGCUGCUGACUAUUACUUGCUAAAACUCUGUGCAUAAGAUUAGCUUAAUUUUUUAUUUGACACUCAAGUAUAUACUUUCAAUUCAUGUAUAAUACAUUUGAUAUACGAUAUUAUUUAUUAAGAGUUGUUUGCUUGCUUGCUUGUGUUUAAAUAAGAAUGGAUCGUUCCAAAUUAAAGGUGACAACAUCAAGUGAUUGUUUGGAACUUUUCUUGUAUACAAUAAAUGACACAAAAGCAAGAAAACUUUUUACUUGGAUGCAAAGCAAUGCAUUCAUCAUAA